rnacentral:rRNA from 1 species
AUUGAACGCUGGCGGCAGGCCUAACACAUGCAAGUCGAACGAGUGGCGGACGGGUGAGCAACGUCUGGGAAACUGCCUGAUGGAGGGGGAUAACCACUGGAAACGGUAGUUAAUACCGCAUACCAUCAGAUGUGCCCAGAUGGGCUGAGCUUUUUGGUGGGGUGACGGAUCACCAAGGCGACGAUCCCUAGCUGGUCUGAGAGGAGGACCAGCCGCACUGGAACUGAGACGCGGUCCAGACUCCGACGGGAGGCAGCGGUGGGAACUAUUGCACAUUGGGCGCAAGCCUGGUGCAGCCAUGCCGCGUGUAUGAAGAGGGCCUUCGGGGUGUGAGGGACUUUCAGCGGGGAGGCGUUACCCGCAGAAGAAGCGCCGGCUAACUCCGUGCCAGCAGCCGCGGUAAUUC